rnacentral:rRNA from 1 species
UGGGGAAUAUUGCACAAUGGGCGCAAGCCUGAUGCAGCCAUACCGCGUGUAUGAAGAAGGCCUUCGGGUUGUAAAGUACUUUCAGCGGGGAGGAAGGUGUUGAGGUUAAUAACCUCAGCAAUUGACGUUACCCGCAGAAGAAGCACCGGCUAACUCCGUGCCAGCAGCCGCGGUAAUACGGAGGGUGCAAGCGUUAAUCGGAAUUACUGGGCGUAAAGCGCACGCAGGCGGUCUGUCAAGUCGGAUGUGAAAUCCCCGGGCUCAACCUGGGAACUGCAUUCGAAACUGGCAGGCUAGAGUCUUGUAGAGGGGGGUAGAAUUCCAGGUGUAGCGGUGAAAUGCGUAGAGAUCUGGAGGAAUACCGGUGGCGAAGGCGGCCCCCUGGACAAAGACUGACGCUCAGGUGCGAAAGCGUGGGGAGCAAACA